UACGUAGGUGGCAAGCGUUGUCCGGAUUUACUGGGCGUAAAGAGCGCGCAGGCGGUCGUUCAAGUCGCGUGUGAAAGCCCCCGGCUCAACUGGGGAGGGUCACGCGAUACUGAUCGACUGGAAGGCAGGAGAGGGUAGUGGAAUUCCCGGUGUAGUGGUGAAAUGCGUAGAGAUCCGGAAGAACACCGGUGGCGAAGGCGGCCUGCUGGGCAGUUGCUGACACUGAGGCGCGACAGCGUGGGGAGCAAACAGG
rnacentral:rRNA from 1 species